UGCAGCUGUGUCAAAUUCAGUGCAUGCCCUACCUAUGGUAGGCACUGGCCCAGAAGGCUGCCACAGAAACACUGUGACCCAUGGGCCCUGUUCCUAUGUCCCAGGUUCAGGGAUAAAUUUGGUUACAGACAUCA
ensembl:snoRNA